UGUGCCUACGGGGGGCAGCAGUGGGGAAUAUUGCACAAUGGGGGAAACCCUGAUGCAGCGACGCCGCGUGAGUGAAGAAGUAUUUCGGUAUGUAAAGUUCUAUCAGCAGGGAAGAAGAUGACGGUACCUGACUAAGAAGCCCCGGCUAACUACGUGCCAGCAGCUGCGGUAAUACGGAGGGGGCAAGCGUUAUCCGGAUUUACUGGGUGUAAAGGGAGCGUAGACGGUUAAGCAAGUCUGA
rnacentral:rRNA from 1 species